UGUCCCAGGUUCACUUCCUGGCAUCUCCAAGUAGGGCUAGAAAAGACUCCUGCCUUGGACAGCUGCUGCCAAUCAGUGUAGACCAGGGCUGGGCAAACUUGGAGAUGUUGAACUACAAUUCCCAUCAUUCUCAGCGACAACUGACCAAUGGUCUGCCUUGGUAAGGCAGCUUCAUAUGUUCCUAUGCUUCCCAUAGCUAAGAAGACCACACUAAUUGUACAGCUUGAACAGGAAUCAACAGGGCAGCUGUUAUUCCACCCAGCAAUCCACUUCUUGACAACUGUCUGCUGAGAAAGAUAAGUAGCAUGUGAAAGUUUGAAGGAGUGUUGAGCUGGGUGAGGAGAGCAAGGAGUCUUUAAUGCUGCGAGAAUUGGGACAUCUCCAGAGAUAUUAUUUUAUACAUCACUAAAUCAACUACAGAGUCACUGUGCUGGGCUAGCCUGUGGCAGAUUUUGAGAAACAUGAAAGUACCUCCCCCCCCCCAUCUCUGUUAAGGUGCAAAGGACUUGCAGUCUUUAAAACAAACAAUUUGUGGCCAAAAGGUACAACCCAUGUAAAUAGCUGAAGAAUGAGUUAGAGCCCUAAUCAAAGUUUACAUUUCACAAAGCAUGGCUUUUAAAAAGGUGGUUUCCAUAAUGUGUUUGAUUUACACAUCUAGAGACAGACCCACCACUGGCAGAACUAAGCUUAAACCGACUGAAGUAAAUGAAUGUGGGCCCACUUAUGAGAGCGCUAUUUCAGCAGCCUCUACAGUAGAUUCAUAUUUCUCCUCAGAGCUAAAAAUACCUUUAUAUUUGAAGACUCUCCUUUGAGUUUACAUCCCUCAGGACGACAGCACUGAACUGCCUGGAGGGGCUUUUGUGAACAGAGAACUCACUAAAUGUGAUCACAACAUACUUUACAGCAUGAGUUGAGUCCCAGGGGAUCUCCCACAUAAAAUUCCUAAACACUGAGGAGAGGUAAAGCUGUCUGUCUAAUCUAUGGAAAUGCAAGUUUCAGGCACUGUCAAACUGGAAUUUUAAAGAACAAACUCACUUUAAAAGACCAGACUUCUUUUCCCUCCAGUGCAGUGGAGGGGAAAAAAGAUGAUAAGAUUAUCUUUUCCUAAAUUUCAUACAUAGUAAUUACUGAGUAUCCUAUGCAUCCAGAUUACUUAGAAUAAAUUGUCAAAGUAAAUUGGCUAUUCUUUCAACAUUGGUAAAUUAUUCUUCUAUUGUGGAUGCUGGCUUGAUCAUUCAAAUACAGUAAUUUUCAUUUACUUAGUGUCUUUGACAUUUUUAGAAUAACUACUGUGUCAUUACUUUUAGAAACCUAUUAGGUAAUUGUUAUGGUAUGGAAAGAUUGUCCGUCCAGCUUUAAAACAAGAGAAUCGAUGAUCAGGAGACGUAGGUCAUAUACAAAGUAGGUCUGAAGUAAAAUUAACAGGACUUUGGAGAAAAAAUUAAAUCCAUAAUAAGUACUAUCUGUAGGCAUAUUUCCUUAGCUUGAUUCUUGUUUCACAAUGGGGUGAGAUUGAUGCAAGUGAGGUCAGAAUCAAGCACAACCGUAGAUGGUGUGCUGGCUUAGCUCUGUCUGUUAUUGUGGCACCAAAGUCUGUGUGCUCUGUAUGUAUCCCCCCCACCCACACUCCAGAGAGAAACUUCAGUGAUAUACCACAAGAUGAAGCUUUAAUACAAAGCCCAGUGAAUGGGCAAAUUCAUUCACAUGCACAUAUUCAUAUCAAGUUUGUUCUUAAAAGCUAGCCACCUUUAGGCAUGUCUUCUUUGCCAAUAUGACUGAAAUACAUGAUGUUUUCAUUGCCUUGUACUGUGUAAUACUGGGUUGCUAUUCAGCCGUGAGUGGGUAUCUCUUCAGAAAGAGUUGUAGUUUAAAUGAUUUUAUCAUAACGAUUCCAUUUGUAUUUUCUAAUGUUAUGUAAAAAAAAGGCAGAAAUUGUCCACUCUAAUUAAAAUCCUAAUUGUUUGAAUCUCAACCAUAUGCUCAACAGAAGAUGGUUUCAUAUUUAAAAAUGUAGGAACCAACAUCUGUAGUAUCCUAUCUGCUAAUCCGCUGUUAUUUAAAAGUUUGUCUUAGUGCGAAUGAGAGGGGCGGAGUCAAAAGGGCAGAGGGAGAAAGGAGAGGAGUAAAGUUGAGUUGUUUCUCAGAACAAUUCUUGAUUGAACCUAUAACAGGUGCCCGGUGCCAAGGGAAGGAAGCAGAUUCCAUCAGAAGUACCUGCAAGCGCUGUGCAAAAUGAGCCGGUGCCACCCCUGAGAAUAUUGGAAGAGGCCGUCAUCGUCACCAUCCAUGUUCUAAUCCUCACAAUCCUUGUGGGCAAACAUGCAGAGAAUACCAAACUCACAAUGGAGGACAGAAAGACUUUUGUUUCCUUUACAGUGCUUGUGUAAUGAAAUGAAAUUGCACAAGCAGCCUUCAACAUCAAUAGAUGAUAAAUGCCCUAUGUGGUAUGGGGCAAAAGCUGGAGGUAUUUCUGUAAUAGUGCGUGUGUGGGGAAGCUACCUGUUUUGUCCAGUCUGAUGUUGUGGGCUUUGCUUUAUUGCUUCUUGACUAAGAAAUAUCUCAAGGAAGAGACAAUAACCCUGGGCUUCCUCAACUGAAGAAAACCUAUUGGGGCAUGGAAGAGAGCUUUGGGGUGACCUCAUUCAAAGUGAGGAGUGGGCAAGAAAGAGACAAUACUUCUCUGAAGUGGAAAAGGGAAUGGGGAGGGAAUUAGUGCCACCUAAAUGAGAAAAAAUAAAGCAUCUUGCUAUUUUUCCAGA